rnacentral:lncRNA from 1 species
UCCCACACUCACAUGCGGGUCUCACCAUCGGUGAGUAUAUGAAUAUCUUAAUGUACAAAAAGUUAUGUAAAACUAGUGUUAUUCAAUAGUAAAAAGUUGGAUGAAAAAGAACUUAUUUUCAUAAAAAAAUAAAUUCAAUCAAAUGUGCUUUAGGGUAUUACCCACUUGGAAUUUCAAAGUUAUCCAGAGAGAAUUCUCUCUCAAUCGAAGCCGCCACUUUUUUGACUAAUUUUGUUCAAUCAGGUUAUGUGGAGGAAAUCUACCUACCUCACGACGUCAGAUGCAUGGAAAUCUAUCAAUUCAGCCGCCAAAAAUCAUCCAUCUUCACAUAUUUUGUUUCAGAUACUUUCAUAUCAGCAUAUCUAAAAGUAUUAUAGAAUAAUAAACAUAGUGCAAGUGUCAUCUUAGUUUUGAAUUGAACUUGACGAGGAAUGUUAUCCGAUAAAACUUAUCUUAUUUACCAUACUUGAAUAUGAGAUUAUUGGUCAAGAAAGCACGAUUCUAUCCUCAGAAAACGUGUAUGUAAUAAAGGGGUUUCAAAUAUAUCAAUUUUUUAAACUUGAAAUCAUAAAAUAAUAUAUAUUCAAGAUAAUCAAGAAGUCCACUACAUUACAAUCUCAUUGGUUCCAAUCAUAAAAAAACGCCAAAUAUUAAUUGGAGGGAAAAUUGCAACAGCGAUCCUUAACCUUUUCUUUUUUUUGCAAAUUUUAUCCUAAUUUUUAUUUUAUGCCUGCGAAGGUCCCUAACCUUUCAUAAAUAUAUACCUGAGGUCCAUCUGGACGGAAAUCAUUCAAAAUGCCGUCAGUUGACACGAAAAAUUCCUUGAAUUAUCUGCUAUCGCGACGAUUUAUUGGAUGUUGAUAUCUUUUAGAACGAUUUUAUUGGAUGUUAAUUCCUUAAUUUUUCCGAUCAACUGACGUGUCUUGGACGAUUUCUAUCCAAAUAGAUCUCGGGUGCAUAUUUAUGAAAGGUAAGAAACCUAUGCUAGCACAAAAUGAAGGUUAUGAUAAAGUCUGCAAAAAAAUAAAAAGGUUAAGGACCGCUAAUGCAAUUUUUCCUUAACCCGAAUGUUUUAUGAGGAAAUUACAAAAACCCAGGCAUUUCAAGAUGACAAUGCAAAAAUUAGGUGGAAUGUUUUUUUAAUCAUAAAUAAGAUACUCACCCAACCUACACAAACCCUAAAUCAUUUCGUCUCUCUCUCUCUCUCUGUCUGCCCUCUCUCUCUACCCAUUUCUUUUCUCUCCAGCCUCUAACCAUUUUGCUUCAUCUUCAUCAUCGUAGCUCGUCGAGUUUCAUUCUUCAUCGGUGUCGGCACUCUAAACUGGUGAUGAUCAAUCGUUGGUUUAUCUAUUCUAUUUGCUUCGACGAUACUCUGAAACGCAGGCUGUG